AAUAUCAAAACUUUAGCAAAAACCAUAAGAGGAAAUCGAGUUGACCUUUAUUGCUGCAAUUUUCUGCCAUGUACAAUAAAACAAGAUCUCAAGAAUAACCAAACCAAAAAAAGAACUAUUAAUCCGAACCUCGAUGAACCCAGCCCCCGGAAGACGAAACUCGAACGGUAACACCUCAAUCAAACUCCACUGUUUGAAAAACCAAAGUUCCGAAAUUUAAACUGAAACAUAAACCAGAAAAAAAAGCUUCUUCUGUUACUUGGCUUCAGCGAUGGCUUCAGGACUUAUUUGAAACGAAUAUGGUGAAAUAUUAGGUCAUCGAUAAUGGAAUUCUGGCCAGAUCUGUCACUGGACUGUUCAACAGCAAAACGCAAUGAUGAAAAGCGAGGAAUGAGGUCGUUUUGGCCAUAGCUAGUCGCUGCCGAUCGGCGAUGGCAGCGAAAACUGAAGGAGGAGAAAGGACGUGCCGGUCACCUCGCCAUAGAUGAGGGCGACAUAGCAACAGUGACUCCAAGAGAUAAAGAGUGAUUUUUGGGUGAGCAGACCCUCUCCUCUCUGUAUAUUGCGGUGCGCGUGUGUCUUCGGUUUUGGUGGUAAAAGAGUGGAGUUGGGCUGCCGGAAUUUGGAGGAGAAAAGGGAGUGGGCGAUUGAAGGGUGGUUGUUUGGCGAUAGAAAGGCUUGGCGGCGACACGUCUUUGUGCUUUUGGUUAGAGGUGGGGCGGCUGGAAAGUUGAGGCGAUUAGGGUUUUUUGUUGUUGUGGGGGUGUGAACAAAUUGAAGGCUAAC
rnacentral:lncRNA from 1 species